UUGACAUCAAGGUUAGAGGAAGAGGCUGGCCAACACCAGAGCACAUUUUUAAAGUUAUCAUCUAUUUAAUAAAUCUAAUUCUUUUAAAUUUUUUUUUUUUUUUUAAUUUAAUUGUUAAGAAGUGUGAAAAAUUUUAGUUAAAAUCAAUAGUUUAGUUAUUAGUUAUUGAGGUUUAAAUUUUCUAUAGAAAUUACUUAGAAUUGAUUAGGAUUUGAUUUAGGAUUUGAUUUAGGAUUAGGAUUAGGAUUUUGGAUUGAUUUAAGAUUUGGUUAGGAUUAAGAUUAAGAUUUUGGAUUUUAUUUGAGAUUUUAUUAGGAUUAGAGUUUGAUUUAGAUUAGUAUUUGAUUAGGAUUAGGAUUUGAUUUAGGUUAAGAUUUGGUUAGAUUUAUUUAGAAUUUAAUUAAGAUUUUAUUAGGUUUAUUUAGGAUUUAACUAAGAUUUAUUUAGAGUUUUUUUAGAAUUUUUUUAAGAUUUUACUAGGAGUUUUUUAGGAUUUGGUUAGGGCUUAUUUAGGAUUUGACAAGAAUUUGAUGAAGAUUUGACUAAGAUUUUAUUAAAGUUUGAUGAAGGUUUGACUACAUAUUGACUAAGAUUUGACUAUAUUUUAACCAAGAUUUAAUUAAGUUUUUAUUUUAAUAUUUUAUAAAAAAUUCUAAUUUAGUAUUUUUUUAAUUUCUAUAUUAUUUCUUUAUGAUUUCUUUAAAGGGUCUCUAGAAAUUCUUUGUAUUUUUUAUAUAAUUCUUUUAAAAUUUUAAUUAAAUUUGAUUGAUGUUUGAUUAUAUUUGCUAAUCUUUAAUUAUGAUUUAUUUAAGAAUAUAUUAGAUUUGUUAAGACUUGUUGUUGCAAUUUUCUUUUUAUCUUCCACAGCCAGGUGCCCAAUGUAUUCUCAAGCUAAACUUCAUAUAACAUGACGAUGGACCUACAAAAACUAUUAAAAUAUUUUUUUAUAAUAAUUUAGAAAUUAAAGUUUGAUUGAUGCAAAAUAUUAUUAUAUGCAUUACAU
rnacentral:lncRNA from 1 species